CUGAAUACGAAUUCAUCUGAGUCGAGCUGCGUGAGUUUGGCGCAGACCCUGAGCAAAGGAAACAGCAAGGCACACCAGAAAAAUACUGAGAUAGACAAAAUAUUUUCUGUUCAGAAAUGGGAGAUCUGUUCCAAUUCAGGAGAGUAAAGUAACCCCUGACCUCUGACCCCAAAUGUGGGCGAGGAGCAACCAUCCGACGGCUUAGACACACCUGCACCUGAGGAUUCUGAUGACCAAAUGGUUAACACACUGUGACAAGAGAAAAUAACAAGCAGGAAGAGAACAAGACAAAAAUACCUGCAGAUCUCCACAGAAGAGACUUCUCAGAAGAGCUGGAAAAAGUGACGAGAAAAGAAAAAAGAUUAAAUGAGAGGAGAACAAUGUCACACAUGGUGCACAAAGCAUCUGAGGCAUUUUAUGAAACGAGUGCCUUGUUCAGUUUGUUAAGUUGAUUAAAAGUAACUUUUUAAAAAACAAAAUAAUUAAAUAUUGUGUUUAAGUGGUAAUAUAUUACGGCAUUAAUUGAUUUUAAUAUAUUAUGCCUUCAGAAAAGUAAGACAGUUGACAGUUCUACAAUGUAUUUUGACAUAUUGUGCUUUAAUUCAACAGUCCUGAGUUCAAGGUUACGGAGCUAGAAAAUGUUUAUUAAAGAGACAAUUUUAUACUGGUAUUAAAUAUACACUUUUCAAUUAUUACUUACUAUUAAAAUCAUGAUAACAGGGUGUGCACUUUUUACGAUCACUCCCACUGGUAAACCGAAUGUGACAUACAACACAAUAAACUUUAAAGGUGUAUUCAGUAAUUCUUUAGCUAGUGAUUCUGUUCUCUCCACUGGAAAAGCACUAUAAUAAGUGUGGCUCAUUGUCUAAUUUUACACUACACUACUAGUGUAUCUACACAACGAAAGCC